rnacentral:rRNA from 1 species
CGGUAACAGGCCUUCGGGCGCUGACGAGUGGCGGACGGGUGAGUAACGCGUAGGAAUCUGCCUCAUAGUGGGGGACAACGUGGGGAAACUCACGCUAAUACCGCAUACGCCCUACGGGGGAAAGGAGGGGAUCUUCGGACCUUUCGCUAUGAGAUGAGCCUGCGUUAGAUUAGCUAGUUGGUAGGGUAAAGGCCUACCAAGGCGACGAUCUAUAGCUGGUCUGAGAGGACGAUCAGCCACACUGGGACUGAGACACGGCCCAGACUCCUACGGGAGGCAGCAGUGGGGAAUAUUGGACAAUGGGCGAAAGCCUGAUCCAGCAAUACCGCGUGUGUGAAGAAGGCCUUAGGGUUGUAAAGCACUUUCAAUUGAGAGGAAAACCUGCCGGCCAAUACCCGGUAGCUUGACAUUACCUUUAGAAGAAGCACCGGCUAACUCCGUGCCAGCAGCCGCGGUAAUACGGAGGGUGCGAGCGUUAAUCGGAAUUACUGGGCGUAAAGCGUGCGUAGGCGGUUCGUUA